UAUAUAUGGGUCCAAUUGUGUGCUAUUGUAGUAAUAACAAAUAAAAUGUUCCGUUACACUCGAGCUUAAGGGGGGGUAUGGGAUAAAAUUUUUUAAAAAAUCAUUUUUUUUUAUUUGUUAAAUCGAAUGUACAACUAUUGAAGAAUGUUGUCUCAAAAUUUCAGCUCAUUCGGAGAACGAUGGAAGUCAUCACCGGCCCAAGUGCUCACGAAUAUGUGAAAAGAUUUGACGAAUCCCAAAACUUUGAACGCGUUUUUCUCGAAACGCCUUUUCUGAAGUCGGUGUCCACGAUAACUCAAAAAAUGAUUCUACGAUCUUAUAUCCGGGACACCGCAAUGUGCGGAAUUCCGUUGAGUGCCUACUUCAAGUGGCUGCAACUUCGUUGAUUUUCGACAUUUUGUAAACUGAUUUUUUGUAAAACAUAUUUGAAAUGUCACUGAAUAAUAUGAUAAUAAAACUAUUCAAAAAUAUUUAGUAGUUUUCUCAAAAAAAAAUCUUCAAAAACGCUUUUUUUUUGGCCCGUUAGGACAAAUUAGAGGAAAGCAGUACUAUCUAAUCAAAAUACUAAAGCGCGUCUAAAUUGUGUAAGGAACAUAAAAAUGCGUCCGGGGAGAAUAUAAAUAAAAAAUAUAUAAAAGUUAUUUGUUCGGAUGAAAUAAAUAAGAAACUAAAAAAAAAUGUUUGCAAUCAUGAAAACCUUCAACGCCGUCAUGUGCGAUGACAAUUGUCAGCACAAAGUCUUGGCUUUAAUCCGAUUGAGGUUUUAUGGGCUAUUGUAAAGAGGAGAUUGUGCAAUUACCGAACAGCACCAAGCAAUAUGGAGAAGUUAUGGAGCAGAUUACAAGUCGAAUGGAGAAACAUACCAAAGUAAUUAAUAGAAAAUAUUAAAUAUUAAAACAUUUAAUUUGAAGCCACAUAUUGAAUGAUUUGCUUUAGUUUUUGUUGUAUUGCUCUUUUGUUUUUGUUAAUUAUUUGUUGAAUUUUUAUUUUAUCACAUAAUAUGUAAUAAACUUAUUCUGAAAAUGUUAUAAUAUUUGAGCUGUCGUAAAAAUAUUUACAGCACUUAAAAUGAAAAAGUGGCAAACAUCUGAACGGUUUUGAUCGCCACUGUAUGUGCUAUUUUGCUAUCUUUCUUAAAGACCAUUUGUACAGAUAUCCUUUAGCUAUUCGUAUAUAAUAUUUGAUAUCUUUAUAGGUGUUGCCAAAUUUCCCCUUGAUGACUGUAUAAUUAAAUUGCAGGUCAGAAGUAAACAAAUGAUAAUACUGAUUAGAUAAAUAAAUAUCGCAAAAGCGGCGAUUAUUUUCAACUUUUUGCAUUUUCUUCUACGUUCAAAGGUCGACAUUUCCGUAUCAACAAUAUCAGACAAAUAGGCAAUAGUUAUUUUGCAAUUUGUAAAAGACAAAGAGGCGUGAAAAUAUUUUAUGUUAUCUACAAUACAAAAUCAAACUAUAAAAAAUUUUGCAUAUGGACUCAAUAUCUGUUAUUAGAUGAAACUGGGAAACGAUUGACAUCAUUUUCGAUAUCUUAAUACAGUUAUCUUAAAUACAGUAUUUUUAUAAUGAUUGAAAUCGAAAUAAUCAUAUUGAAAUCAACCUAACUUAAUGUAAUCACCAUAUACGCCAUUGAAGUGCUAAAUGAAGGCUGCUGCAGUUGCGAGUUGACAGUCCUUGAUCGGAUUUUGAUACUGAUUUAUAUGAUUUAGCUGUUUAUUUGUUAUUUAUAUAUUAAACUUAUUCGAAUAUUCGAAUGCAAAGGCACUCAACUGAUAUCGUAAUCCUGAUCACUUUGCUAUAUAACUAUAUAUCUACCUCGUUUAGUUUUAACUGCUACUAACAACAGUUAGUUGAACGAAAAU